CGUGAUGCGUAGAAGGUUGUCCUAUCAUUCUGCCUUGAAUUUAUAUAUAAAAAAAAAAAAGUCUCUCCUCUCGGAUGGGAGCCGGCUCUUAUCGUUCACUUAAAAGAGCCAGCUCAAAGAGCCGACUCGUUCGUGACGACACAUCACUAGAGUGAAUGCACCAAAAUAACUAUUUUUCAGGUUUCUUUAUAAGAACUGCGCUAAUAAUAAUUUACCUUUCAGCCGGCAGUAAGUAAUGGCAACAUACAAAGAAACGACCCCUCAGUGGAAAACAACAAUUAUAGUCAGCACAUCACUCCAGAACCACGACACUAACAGGAUGCUCAGUGCUCAGCAGCACCGGAUCAGAUCUUCAGACAGCGUUGAGUCAGGAGCCUUUAUUUUCCCUCUGUCAGGUACUGCAUUUCUGUUGGUUGACCCUCAAGACCUCCUGGAGCCUUUUGAGGAAUCUGGACUCAUUGAGAGGAUUAAGACUUUUGUGCAAGUGCACCGUAACAGCUUUCUACUAUUAUUUGCCCCCUUCAAUGGGAAAAAGGAAUUGGAAAUCUUGUCGGUGAUUCAACACAGAUUCUUUGGCAGCAACCUCAGGAUCCUGCCUGUGCGAAACAACGCAGAGAUCGUCAAAGGGAUGUUGACCAUUGCCAAGUAUUUCACCUGAAUACUGCCGGGAAGCUGUCGAUGGUGAUGAGCUGGACAAACAGCAGAUAAGCCAGACAAGCUCUCGACUCCUUGGACUGACUGAUGUCUGUCUGGGUGCUUUUCCUCAGAGGGCUGAAGAACAGGAGCUCUGGCAGAGACUCUUGGAUUGCAGUGCUAAGAGCAGACAAGAGGCACUGGAUAUGGCUCAAGACGGCAAUGGCCACACUGAUCUUCUAUGAGUUCAUCUCAGAGAGAAGGACGACCAUCACAAACAGCAUCGAACGCU